UCGGGCCUGAGGGCUGCUGGCCCCUAGCGAGAGGGCGAGAGGGCGAGGCAAGACCCAGCCAGAAAUGUCACCUGGCUGCCUCCUCACCGUCCUUUCCUCUUCCUGGCCUGGAAUGUCCAUCGUCAACCCCCCUAAUGGAGUAAAGGAACAAGCACAUGGGGCGGCGGGAGUCUAGAAGAGGAGCAAGAGCAGAGAGGACCAGGUGGAAAGACUGUGUGGACUCAUGUGUGGCUGUUAAAAACAGAGGAUUAGAUCUGCCAGGGGCUCCCAGCCAUGAAAUGCUCUGCUCUCUUCUCUUUUCCUUGCUGUCCCCGGGGCUGGAGGAGCACAGGCCUCCCCAGGCACAGGGCCUCAGCUUUGCUGCGCUCCCAUCUUCUUCCAGGGGUUGAGGCCGGGUGGCCAGAAAUGGGAGUGCCUGACUUCUGGAGGAAGAGUUUCCCAGAAGGCCGAGGCAUGAGCCCCCUGGGAACCGAGCAGUCCACUGACUGAGUUCAGACGCCCUCUUGGUCUAGGAGGUGCUGAGAUGCCCACCUCACACGUACAAGCCCUAAGUCUCGAGGCCUGUGCCACACAGACGGCACAAGCCCUGCUUCCAGCCACAGAGGCCUUGAGGAUCCCAAGGCCCCGAGGCCCAGGCCGCGGGACCAUCGGGCUGGCGUGGCCCCCACUGUCCUGUGCCCUGCCUCGGUGCCCUGGGCCAGCCCAAGUGCUGAGUUGGCGGUUCAGCAGCUGCCUCUGCCCACGGAGGCCCAGUUAUAAAUAAGCCCGAUGUGGCCAAGUCA